GGCCGAAGGUGAAGAAAAGUUGACGGGUUUGGCAAAACAUUUCAAUAGUCAAACACUAUAUGGUCGGAGGAAUGUGACAGUUGCAACAUACGUUGGUAUAGGAUUGAUUGCCUUGUACUUCUACGUGAGAUCGAAGAGUAAAAAGACGUAACUUAUAGUCAGAAUUGCAGUCGCAUUAUGUAAUAACGAUACAUGUGCCGUAUCAUAAUAUUCUUUAAAUAAAUGUAAUCGAAAUAUCCUUUUGGAAAUUUAUCUUAUUUUUGGUGCUUGUUCCAGUCAGUCUCUAACUGUUUAAUGAUCAUAGGUAAUUAUUUGCUAAGAAUAUGUAUCAUUUAAUAAUCACGUUUAAUCAAGAAAGUAAUUUUAUAUUUGUUGUUUAUUUUAUUGAAAUCAUAAUAAAAAAUAUGUUAGCAAAAAAAAAGGAGAAAUUAUUAAACAGAGUAUUCAUUUAAUUCUUAUCGCAUUUCAAGUAUUUCUCAUUGUAUGUUUACUCUGUUCUUCUAAUAAAUUAAAAAUUGUGAUCUUUUA
rnacentral:sRNA from 1 species